UGAAGUUUGGGUCGAUAUUAUAU
rnacentral:snRNA from 1 species